rnacentral:rRNA from 1 species
CCUACGGGGGGCAGCAGUGGGGGAUAUUGCACAAUGGGGGAAACCCUGAUGCAGUGACGCCGCGUGUGGGAAGACGGUCCUCUGGAUUGUAAACCACUGUCCCCAGGGACGAAGAUGACGGUACCUGGGGAGGACGCUCCGGCUAACUACGUGCCAGCAGCCGCGGUAAUACGUAGGGAGCGAGCGUUGUCCGGAAUUACUGGGUGUAAGGGGAGCGUAGGCGGGACUGCAAGUUGGGUGUCAAAUCUACCGGCUCAACCGGUAGCCGCACUCAAAACUGCAGUUCUUGAGUGAAGUGGAGGCAGGCGGAAUUCCUAGUGUAGCGGUGAAAUGCGUAGAUAUUAGGAGGAACACCAGUGGCGAAGGCGGCCUGCUGGGCUUUUACUGACGCUGAGGCUCGAAAGUGUGGGGAGCAAACAGGAUUAGAUACCCCAGUAGUC